rnacentral:lncRNA from 1 species
CUCUCUCUCUCUCUAAUGAUAUAUAUGUGUCAUGUAUGUAUGUAUUUAUCUCUCUCUCCUCUUAGUCCCUCUUUUGGCAAUGAUUCUUUAGCUCUUUUCCUCCCUUCCUCCUCUGUGUACUCUGAAGUAAUCAAUAUGAAGAAAGAAAAUCAAAUCUCUAGGCUCUAGCCUUUUUUCUCUUUUUCUCUGAACGUUAAUCUCUGUAAUUCUGCAACCUAUACACAGAAAGUUGUGUCUUUCAGAUCCCAAUAUGUAAUCUCUAUCUCUACACAUAUAUAUUGAACCUUACUGUACUAUUGUUCAAAGCAAAAGGUGAAUAGUUAAAGCAGUUUGUUUGGGUGCUAAGAAAAAAAAAAUUAUAAUAAUAUGCAAGAACAAGGCACAAACAUCAUGGGUUCUGGUGGUGGUGGCUCCGGAGAGCAGAACCACCAGCUCAAGGCGGAGAUCGUCACCCAUCCGCUGUACGAGCAGCUGCUCUCCGCCCAUGUAGCGUGUUUACGGGUGGCGACACCGAUUGAUCAACUGCCACUUAUUGAUUCUCAACUCUCUCAGUCUCAGAAUCUCCUGAGGUCUUAUGCUCAUUAUAAUGUUUCUCAGUCUCUAUCUCUACAUCAAAGGCAAGAACUUGACAAUUUCUUGGUAGGGUUUUCUUCAAAUUUUUUAUUUUAAUUUUUUUUUGAAUUGUUUUGGUUCUAAUCAUGGUCUAGAUCGUACCAAGAAACAUGACACUUAUUUUAAGGAAAAAAUAUUUUAUGAAAGUAUGAUUUUAGGGUUACAAUUUCAUUUUUAAUUUAUGUCAUAAUCAUGGAGUUUUUGUUAGAUCUAUGUUAAAUAAAUUUAUGAAUUUAAUGCUGUGUAUAUCUAUGUCUGAAUCAGACACAGUACUUGUUAGUAUUGUGUUCAUUUAGAGAAGAUCUGCAGCAACAUGUUAGAAUCCAUGCUGUUGAGGCUGUCAUGGCCUGCCGUGAAAUUGAGCACAAUUUACAAACUUUGACAGGUAUUUAUAUAAUUUCUCUAAUGAGUACAAAUAUAUAUUUUGAAAUAUCUUUGCGCUCGAGGGCAAUGACAUAGUUAGUGAUUUUCUAAUCAAGCCACGUCCGUCGCUAGUUGAAAACUAUUUCCAAAUCCUAUCUUCGGCCUGGUUACGUCCUGACGGUCGAGAAUCUCCGAAAGGGUUCUCCUCAUUGGUGAAGCCCUACAAAAAGGAAAAUGUAGUUAUCGAUUAGUUUAAUAUCUUAAAUGAUAUUAUUGUAUAAUAGGAUAAUUUUAGUGAUGCACUAAUUUUUUUUUUUAAUAGCUAAAAUUAUAUGAAAUGAUUCAUCAAGACUUGAUCUAGAUAAUAAAUUUGGUAAUUUAUGUGCGCUCCAAUAGGGUUGGGAUAAUUUGGUAAUUCUAUUGGUAGGUAAGAGGAUAAGAAAGUAAUUUGCAGCUCUAGGAAGCUUGUGGGCCCACUGGAAAGAGUAGUUAAUAUUUGGGAAUUGGGAGAGAAAAAAUAAGUGGCAACAAACCAAUACAAUAUUAAAUUACUAACAACCUAAUAAUGAAUGCUCAUUGAACAAGCAAGAAUAAGUAGCAAAUUCGUUCCUCUAAUUUCCAAUUCAUAAGUCAAUACUAGAGAAGGAUACAUAGAAAGUGUACAACAAGGAAAAUUGUCUAUCAUUAGAUAAUCAGUCUUUACGUAAUUCAUUCUAAGUAAUAUCUAAAGACUCUUAUGCCUUUCUUGAUUGAAGUUGAAUAAGUACGUUAUAAAGUAAUAAUAGAAAAGGCUUAUAUUGGUAACUUUCACCGACCUAAAAUCUCAAAGGAGAUAAUCUACACGUACUUUUGUAUACGAUCACAUUAUGGUUUUAUUCUAGUCAUUUGCCUUCAAAUAUUUGAUUUCAAGAUUAGAGUGUAUUUUAUUUUUAAACAUUUAUAACUAAUGGAUUUUCAUGUUGUAAUACAUUAAACUAGCUGAAGAUCAAAAAGUCUAGAACCGAAUGAACUUAUAGAGAUGCAAAGGACAUAUUUAGUGCAUAAUAUUUAAUAUGAUUAUAAUUUUUUUUUUUAAAUAUUGUCGAGUAAUGUACAGGAACAACACUAGGUGAAGGAACCAGUGCAACUAUGUCGGACGAUGAGGAUGAACUGCAGAUGGAUUUCUCAUUAGAUCAAUCAGGAACUGAUGGACAUGAUCUGAUGGGAUUUGGACCACUGGUUCCAACAGAAUCAGAGAGGUCUCUUAUGGAAAGAGUUAGACAAGAACUCAAAAUUGAACUUAAACAGGUGAGUUUCUUCUAAAAUUUCAACGACGUACAAAAUUUUAUUCACAAUUGAAUCUCCUUGUCUAAAAACUUGAAACCGUUAUCAAACGUGCCUUUGCAGGGAUUCAAGUCGAAAAUCGAAGAUGUGAGAGAAGAAAUAUUAAGAAAAAGAAGGGCAGGAAAGUUACCAGGUGACACAACUACAGUGCUCAAGGAUUGGUGGCAACAACACUCAAAGUGGCCUUAUCCAACUGUAAGUCCCUUCUUUUUCGACCAGCUCAACACAUUGUAUUGGAUAGAAUUAGACAAAAUUAAGGAUGAAAAUUAAACUAUAAAAUUUGUCGCGAAUUCUCGUCAUUUCAUUAGUAAGAACUCUAACAAAAUACGUCGAUACUAACUUAACUCCCCGACACUCCUACUUGGUAAGUAAAUAUUUAAGUUUUCCUUCUUUUUAUUCAGCACCAAUCAAACGUGCUCUAAAAUAUCUCGUAUUUCUCGAAAAAAGGCAUUAAAUUCUAUGAUAUUGCAGGAAGAUGACAAGGCAAAACUUGUAGAGCUAACAGGGUUGCAGCUAAAGCAAAUAAACAAUUGGUUCAUAAACCAAAGAAAGAGGAAUUGGCACAGCAAUUCGCAGACUGCUACAUCUUUGAAGUCCAAGCGCAAGAGAUAGAGAAAGUUGUGCUGUAUUUAAGCUUUGGGGACCACAUUGCAAAUGUGUUGAUAGAUCAAGGACUAAUCGUGCAAUUUUUCUUCAUGUCAGUAAGCUAAUGGAAUGUAACGUUCUGGAUAAGUAAAGUUUUCUUUAAACAUUUGACGAAGUGUGUGGUAAAUCGAUUGAGGUGUUCAAGUUACUAAGGCCCUGUUCUCUUUAUCGUUUUCGGGCCGUUUUCUGUUUUCGAUUUUUCAAAACGGUGAAAACGUGUUCUCUUUCCCGUUUUCGAAAACGAACUUUCCAAAACAAAAAAAAAUUUGUGAAGAAAACACAAAACGACUUUUUUGUCGUUUUGGGCGUUUUCAGUGUAAAACUUGAAAAAACUGAAAACGUAGGAAACACCUUUUUUUUUUUUUUUUUUUNGGACUAAUCGUGCAAUUUUUCUUCAUGUCAGUAAGCUAAUGGAAUGUAACGUUUGGAUAAGUAAAGUUUUCUUUAAACAUUUGACGAAGUGUAUGGUAAAUCGAUUGAGGUGUUCAAG